rnacentral:rRNA from 1 species
UACGGAGGGUGCAAACGUUGCUCGGAAUCAUUGGGCGUAAAGCGCACGUAGGCGGCCUGAUAAGUCGGGUGUGAAAGCCCUGGGCUCAACCCAGGAAGUGCACUCGAAACUGUCAGGCUUGAAUAUGGAAGAGGGUCGCGGAAUUCCCGGUGUAGAGGUGAAAUUCGUAGAUAUCGGGAGGAACACCAGUGGCGAAGGCGGCUCUCUGAUCCAUGACUGACGCUGAGGUGCGAAAGCUAGGGGAGCAAACGGG